rnacentral:rRNA from 1 species
CAGUAGCCGCGGGAAAACGGAGGGUGCAAGCGUUAAUCGGAUUUACUGGGCGUAAAGGGCGCGUAGGUGGUUAUGUAAGUGAGAUGUGAAAUCCCCGGGCUCAACCUGGGAACUGCAUCUUAUACUGCGUAGCUGGAGUGCAGUAGAGGGUAGUGGAAUUUCCGGUGUAGCGGUGAAAUGCGUAGAUAUCGGAAGGAACACCAGUGGCGAAGGCGGCUACCUGGACUGACACUGACACUGAGGCGCGAAAGCGUGGGGAGCAAACAGGAUUAGAUACCCCUGUAGUCCCUGUCUCUUAUAC